rnacentral:rRNA from 1 species
CAACACCCGAAGCCGGUGGGGUAACCGCAAGGAGCCAGCCGUCGAAGGUGGGGUAGAUGAUUGGGGUGAAGUCGUAACAAGGUAGCCGUAUCGGAAGGUGCGGCUGGAUCACCUCCUUUCUAUGGAGA